rnacentral:rRNA from 1 species
AUUGAACGCUGGCGGCAUGCUUUACACAUGCAAGUCGGACGGCAGCACAGAGAAGCUUGCUUCUUGGGUGGCGAGUGGCGAACGGGUGAGUAACAUAUCGGAACGUACCGAGCAGUGGGGGAUAACUAAUCGAAAGAUUAGCUAAUACCGCAUAUCUUCUGAGGAAGAAAGCAGGGGACCAUUAGGCCUUGCGCUGUUUGAGCGGCCGAUAUCUGAUUAGCUAGUUGGUGGGGUAAAGGCCUACCAAGGCGACGAUCAGUAGCGGGUCUGAGAGGAUGAUCCGCCACACUGGGACUGAGACACGGCCCAGACUCCUACGGGAGGCAGCAGUGGGGAAUUUUGGACAAUGGGCGCAAGCCUGAUCCAGCCAUGCCGCGUGUCUGAAGAAGGCCUUCGGGUUGUAAAGGACUUUUGUCAGGGAAGAAAAGGGCGGGGUUAAUACCCCUGUCUGAUGACGGUACCUGAAGAAUAAGCACCGGCUAACUACGUG